rnacentral:misc_RNA from 1 species
UUUUAAUUUUUUUUUUUUUUUGUUAUUAACCCUUUAUAAAAUAAGAGCAACAAAAAACAAGCACAGUUUCUAACAAAAGAUAACAAAUUUAAAAGAAAACAGCAAGCCAUGGGGAGAGUUAGGUGCAACGUCUCCUGUUGGGGGUGUGGGAUAGCCUAUGUGCCUUCCAUUCAUACCCUAUACUUUUUGGGAUUUUAUACUUUGAGUGCCUCAAAUUUUAUUUUAUUUUUUAUUUUCAUUUUUUAAAUUUGGUACCUAAAAUGAAAUAGAAAAUAAAAAGUAAAAUGUUUGUCAUAGAAUAUAUAUAUAUAUAUGAAAUUUGAAGAAAUACACAUGAUUUUGGUCAUGUCAAACAAGCUACACAUCGACUUCAUGAAAUUUUCUUGAGUGAUUGUUAAGGGUCAAAAUGGAAAAGACAAUGGGUUUAACAGUACAAGAAAAAAAAAAGUAAAUUGAUUUGUGUACUUUCAAAGCUUCCUACUACUUGAUUAUAAAUGCGAAACUUGAGAAACUGACCAAAAGCUAAAACCAACUGCUUCAAAAGACUGAUUAAGAUUUAAUAGCACAUGUCAUGUUUAUAGAAUCCCAGAGGUUGAAUUAGGCAGAAGAACAGUAAAAACUUUGAUCCACAUAAAUGCGCCGUCUGUGUUCUGUGUACCUUAAUGAUCAAGGACUCUUCAUCAAGGGAAUUUAAGAUGUUAUGGCAUAAUAAAAGUCUUCGGAAAAGAAAAAAAAAAAUGAAAUGCGUACAUCUUAGACACACAAAAUUAAGUACGAACAUUAAUGAAAUGAAUCCCAAGAAGUAGCAAUCAUUACCUGGUGCGAUGUAUCCAUAAGAACCAGCAAUUGCAUACAUACACUCUGA